rnacentral:rRNA from 1 species
UAAUACGGAGGAUCCAAGCGUUAUCCGGAUUUAUUGGGUUUAAAGGGUGCGUAGGCGGAAUAGUAAGUCAGUGGUGAAAACCUGCAGCUUAACUGCAGAACUGCCAUUGAUACUGCUAAUCUUGAGUACAUUUGAUGUGGGCGGAAUGUGUCAUGUAGCGGUGAAAUGCAUAGAUAUGACACAGAACACCGAUUGCGAAGGCAGCUCACAAAACUGUAACUGACGCUGAGGCACGAAAGCGUGGGGAUCGAACAGGAUUAGAUACCCUGGUAGUCCACGCCGUAAACGAUGAUCACUCGAUGUUGGCGAUACACUGUCAGCGUCCAAGCGAAAGUGUUAAGUGAUCCACCUGGGGAGUACGAUCGCAAGAUUG